rnacentral:rRNA from 1 species
AACGAACGCUGGCGGCAUGCCUAACACAUGCAAGUCGAACGAGACCUUCGGGUCUAGUGGCGCACGGGUGCGUAACGCGUGGGAACCUGCCCUUAGGUUCGGAAUAACUCCCCGAAAGGGGUGCUAAUACCGGAUAAUGUCUUCGGACCAAAGAUUUAUCGCCUUUGGAUGGGCCCGCGUUGGAUUAGCUAGUUGGUAGGGUAAAAGCCUACCAAGGCGACGAUCCAUAGCUGGUCUGAGAGGAUGAUCAGCCACACUGGGACUGAGACACGGCCCAGACUCCUACGGGAGGCAGCAGUGGGGAAUAUUGGACAAUGGGCGAAAGCCUGAUCCAGCAAUGCCGCGUGAGUGAUGAAGGCCUUAGGGUUGUAAAGCACGUUUACCCGGGAUGAUAGUGACAGUACCGGGAGAAUAAGCUCCGGCUAACUCCGUG